rnacentral:rRNA from 1 species
UGCCAGCCGCCGCGGUAACACGGGGGGCGCAAGCGUUAUUCGGAAUUAUUGGGCGUAAAGGGCGCGCAGGCGGUCUUGUCAGUCAGGUGUGAAAUCCCGGGGCUCAACCUCGGAACUGCAUUUGAAACUGGGUGACUAGAGUUUUGUAGAGGGUGGUGGAAUUUCCAGUGUAGCGGUGAAAUGCGUAGAGAUUGGAAGGAACAUCAGUGGCGAAGGCGGCCACCUGGACAAAAACUGACGCUGAGGCACGGAAGCGUGGGGAGCAAACAGGAUUAGAUA